GAUUUAUUAUCCAUUCUGACUCUAAUGACAAAGUCUUAGUUGUGUUUGCUAUCCAGCUGCACGUCUAUUAGAAUAUUUAGGAACUAAACACAAUACUUAAUAAAGGAUAAAGAAAUAAAUACAUUUUAAUGUCAUGAAUGAAAGCUUCAAGAGCUCAUGGAGGAGCCACUUGAGAAAAAGCAGGUUGAACAAUAUGAAAGGAAUCAAAUUCAAUAACACAACAAGUAUAUCCCUUGGAAAUAGCCAAAGCAGAUCACUUCUUUAACUGCUAAGCCUUCUGCCGCAGGAGGAGAGGAGCUUAAGAAAGAUCUUGAACAUCCACCCACUAACUGACCCUGUGAGUUUCAAACAACAACUUCUAAACCAACUAUGGAAGACUGGUAGCCAAAGGAGGCAUCGACAUUGAAUUUCAGUACUCCAUUUGUAGGGCGAGACCAUAUGUAAGAAGUAAGCCUUUGUGGAGGAAAAAUAGCAGGCAGAGAAUGCAUUUGUAUAGCUCCUGUUGAUUGCAUAUCUGCAAGUUCAUUCUAAGCCUUAAAAAUAGUCAAAUGAGGAUUCAGUUCCACUCCUUCAAAAAUAGCUUUAUUCCUUGAUUUCCAAAUAUGCCAACUUAACAGGCAUGCUAACUGAAUUUCAUGUUGAUCCUUAUGGGAGACUGAAAGAUAUAAGUUUCGCAACCACUUCUUAAAAGAGACAAAACUAGAAGAGGUUGGGUAGAAACCCAAUCUAGAACCAAACCAACAUGCUCAAGCAUGGUUACAAGCAAACAAGAGAUGCUCUAAGGCUUUCAUAGUACAGUUACACAAAGGACAAGCAAGAGAGGAUGAACAUCCUCUAAUAAAAAGAUUCUCCUUAGUUGCCAGAGAAUUAUGACAUGCCCUCCAAAUGAAGUUGUGAAUCUUAGGUUGGAUGGGAAGAUGCCAAAUCUUACGCCAAAAAGCUGGAGCAGGAGCAUAAGAGAUUGAUGAACUUGAUUGUUGGCCUUGCCUAGCUUGAGCUAAUUUGAGCUUAUAAUAGACAAAUUUAACGGAAGCAUUCCCACUUCUAGAAAAAUGCCACACCCUUCCUAUCUCCGUUUGAUGAACACCAAGAGGAAUUUUGAGAAUUUCCCCAAGGUUUAGACCAAACAUUAAGAAAAGAUGAUUCUGUAAUGUGCCAUCUUAACCCCAUCUUCAGAGCUGCCUGUCCCACUAGUGAACUUCUCCACCCCCAAGAUGGUGAAUAACCUUCCAAGCUGUUAAGAAAUUCGAGGAAUAGAAAUAAAUACCCUUCAUUAUAUGAGACCAAAGCAAAUGAGGGAACUUAAUCAAUCUCCAA
rnacentral:misc_RNA from 1 species